ensembl:snoRNA
UAUGCUGUGAUGAAACACAACAUGCCAUCUGACCUUUCUGUGUUGAAAACCAGAGGCUGUUUCUGAGCUG